UGUUCUUUAUUUAUUAUAGAUACAUGCAAUAUGUUCAGAGUGAAUAUGUUGUAGCUUUGUAUGGAAAAACAUACAAGUGGAACGAGUAGUAAAUCUCACUUGCAUAGCUAUGUGUAAGGGCCUUAGAAAAAUAAAUAAGCCAUUGGGCCUAAUAAGGGCAGCGGGCCCACUCGAAUUGGUCACAUGGCCUUGAGAGGGGUCCCUUUCCCCAAUUCAGAUUUUCAUUUCCUCAUUUCCCNUCUCUCUCUAGAACUCAGAUUUCUUAUUUUCUCUGACUUCUCUCUAACCUUGCUCCACCUUCUCUGUACCAAUUUCUCAAAUUUCCACCGUUGUUAUUUCAAAUAGGUGGUCCCCCUACGUUCCCGGAGUCGAGAGCUUCCAAUCCAUCUGAUUAGUUUCGCGUCUCUCCACUGAUAAGGUAAUUUCCCAUUCUGCGCACCCUAGGGUUUUACUCAUGCAAAGGUUCUACCUUGCAAGUAGAGUUAUUUUUAUUUUCCUUAUCCUAUCAAGUCUUAAAGACUAUGCUCUACACCAAUUUGGUGGCUUGUAGGUACUAUUCGGAAUUACCUCUGUGCGGAGGUACUGUUAGGACGCUUUUAAGAACUGUGCUGUGAGAACCAAAAGGUGAGGAGAGCUAAUUAUUUUUGGGUUGAAUCUGUUUUCGUGUUUCAUGUAUGAUUAAAUUCAAAAUAUGAUGUUCUGUUUGGAUUGUUUUGUUACUGUUUUAUGUUGGCUUGGUAUGAACUUGAUUGCAUAAAGGAAAAGAAUGUUUGUGAGAAUUGUUGGGUAGAUGUCGGUCACGGUUAUGAGAGGAGAGCUUUGGGUGGUGAUUUAGAGUAAGCGUGGUGUGCUUUGGUUUCAUAAGUUAAGAAAAAGAUGAGAAAAGAAAGGGGUAGGCUACAUGAAUUAAAGAAAAUAGAAGGAGGCACUGUAAUAGUUAUUUGGNGUGGUAUGGGUAUAACCAAAAUAAAUAAGAGAAAGGGUGAAGCUUCUCUAUGAAAAUGGAGGUUGUGUAUGGGCACACUGUGAGUGAUAUUUUGGUGAGGAAGGAGUGAGAAAAGUGUGUAUAUUAUAAAUAGAUAAAGGAGAGGAGAGAGAAAGCAUGGUCCCACGUUAGAGUUAUAGGAAAAUAAAAUAAAAUAAAAUAAGUUAGAAUUGGGUGUAGUAUAAGAUAUAAAUGGAUGCAGAGGAAGAUAGAAUGGGUUGUGACAAUAUAUAAAAAGGUGUGUGCGUGAAGGACUGGGUGAGAAAAGUUUGGGUAUCUUUCAUGAGGUAGUAGAAAUAAAAUGAAGAAAGAGAGAGUAGUUGAAGAGAGAGAAUGAUGAUGUACCGUGUGUGUGAGUGAAAAAUGCUACUCAUAUAUAUAUAUAUAUAUAUAUAUAUAUAUAUAUAUAAUAGUAGAUAUGAAAGAAUAGAAAGUGAGAGAGAGAGAAUUGUUUUUAGGAAAUUUUUUUAUGAAAAGCAUGCAAGAAAUAUAUGUAUGUACGGGAGGUUAAAUGUGAUUGAUAUGAGGGAUGAUAGGAGGAGUUUUGUUUAUAUGCUGCAGGGUGGUUUAAUAUAUGGAAGUAGCUGGUGUUAGGAAAUUGAUGUUAAAGNGUUUAUAUAUUAUAUUAAUAUAGUAUGUAUUUUAUAAAGAAAAUAUAAUAAUAUAUUAUAUUAAUAAAAUAUAGAUAUAGAUAUAUAUUUAUAUAUUGAAAAAAAAGAAAGGAGUAAAGUGUAUAUACAGGACAAAAGUUACGUAUAUAUAUAAUAUAUUAUACUUAAGAGUUACGUAUAUUAUAUAUAUAUAUAUAUAUAUAUAUAUAUAUAUAUAUAAUAUAUAUAUAUAUAAUAUAUAUAAUAUUAUAUUACGUUAGGCUUUACGUAUAUAUGUAUAUAUAUAUUUAUACAUAUAACAUACUUUUUAUAUUGAACUUAUAUUAAUUAAAGGUAUGUAUAGAUUGAUGUGUUUUAUGAGUUGAAGUGGACUAUUUGGAUUAUUUGGUUUUUGGUAUUGAUUAAUUUAGAUUAUAUUAGUGAUGAAUGAGUUGAUAUAUAUAUAAUUGAGACUAUGUUUGGAAAGUAAUGAGAAUGGUGCUAUAAGUCUUUUGAUUGGUGAAUAAUGCAUGUUCUUGAUGAGUUAAUCUUUAUUAUUGAGAUUAAAGGUGGAAUGCAUUGAGUUUAUGUAUAUGUCGAUUAUGGCAAAAAGUAUAUGAUUACAAAGUAAUGAAAGUACUAUCCAAGUUGAAAAUCCAAGUUCCAUCUGUGUAGAAUCUCUUGGUGAGAUUCUUAGUGUUUUAGAAUGAAAGUAGGAGCUCAGUCUUGGGGGUUUUCUUGACGCUCCAAUGGUCAAUCAAACUCACUUAGAGAGGUUGAACCAUGUGGUGAGGAGUAGCAGGAGGUCUUAGUCUUGGAGGCUUCCAUCAUGCUCCAAGGCGCGGAACANNNNNNNNNNNNNNNNNNNNNNNNNNNNNNNNNNNNNNNNNNNNNNNNNNNNNNNNNNNNNNNNNNNNNNGAAGAUAAUAUGUUAGGAUCUAUGUCAUGUAUUGUCUGGUUUGCAUACUUUUGACUUGAGAUUAAUUUUGAUAUGUAUAUGUGAAUAUAAUUGCAUGUCUUUAUAUAGUUAGCUCACCCUUGCAUUUGGUUGUGUUGUGCUAUGUCUGCGUGUUUUCUCUUGCGAUGAUCAUCCAUUUUGGAUGGGAGCAGAUGACGAGGAUGUUACUCUAGAGACAGUCUUGGAAGAGAAUAGCGAUGCAGCUGCUUAGUUCUGCUAGGAGAUUUCAUGACCCCCUUAUGUUAUCUACAAACAAUUCCUUCUUAUGUUAUUCUGAAAUACUUUAGUGCUUCAAGUUUUAAAUUCCUACUCAAUUUGGAUAACUGUAAUCCCUAUACUCAAGACUCUUAACUGCCUGUCUGCACUCCAGCUGCUUUCUUUAUUAUAAUGGAUGACGUCUUAUUAUUA
rnacentral:lncRNA from 1 species